GGUCAAGCGAAUAAGCGCACACGGUGGAUGCCUUGGCGGUCAGAGGCGAUGAAGGACGUGGCAGCCUGCGAAAAGUAUCGGGGAGCUGGCAACAAGCUUUGAUCCGGUAAUGUCCGAAUGGGGAAACCCACCCGCUUGCGGGUAUCCUGCAGUGAAUACAUAGCUGCUGGAAGCGAACCUGGUGAACUGAAAUAUCUAAGUAACCAGAGGAAAAGAAAUCAACCGAGAUUCCGUAAGUAGCGACGAGCGAACGCGGACUAGCCCUUAAGCUGAUUUGGUUCUAGGAAAACGCUCUGGAAAGAGCGGCCAUAGAAGGUGAUAGCCCUGUAUCUGAAAGGGCCAUUUCAGUGAAGACGAGUAGGGCGGGGCACGUGAAACCCUGUCUGAACAUGGGGGGACCAUCCUCCAAGGCUAAAUACUACUGACCGACCGAUAGUGAACCAGUACCGUGAGGGAAAGGCGAAAAGAACCCCGGAGAGGGGAGUGAAAUAGAACCUGAAACCGUGUGCGUACAAGCAGUAGGAGCUCCGCAAGGAGUGACUGCGUACCUUUUGUAUAAUGGGUCAGCGACUUACUGUUCGUGGCAAGCUUAACCGUAUAGGGGAGGCGAAGGGAAACCGAGUCUGAUAAGGGCGCAUAGUCGCGGGCAGUAGACCCGAAACCGGGUGAUCUAGUCAUGCCCAGGGUGAAGGUGCGGUAACACGCACUGGAGGCCCGAACCCACUCCCGUUGCAAAGGUAGGGGAUGAGGUGUGAUUAGGAGUGAAAAGCUAAUCGAACCCGGAGAUAGCUGGUUCUCCUCGAAAGCUAUUUAGGUAGCGCCUCAUAUGUAUCCUCUCGGGGGUAGAGCACUGUUAUGGCUAGGGGGUCAUCGCGACUUACCAAACCAUUGCAAACUCCGAAUACCGAGACGGACUGUAUGGGAGACACACGGCGGGUGCUAACGUCCGUCGUGAAAAGGGAAACAACCCAGACCCACAGCUAAGGUCCCAAAUUUUGUGCUAAGUGGAAAACCAUGUGGAAAGGCACAGACAGCCAGGAGGUUGGCUUAGAAGCAGCCACCCUUUAAAGAAAGCGUAAUAGCUCACUGGUCGAGUCGGUCUGCGGGGAAGAUUUAACGGGGCUAAGCACAGAACCGAAGCUUGGGGUGCAUAACUUUGUUAUGCGCGGUAGAGGAGCGUUCCGUAAGCCGUUGAAGGUGGAUUGAGAAGUCUGCUGGAGGUAUCGGAAGUGCGAAUGCUGACAUGAGUAACGAUAAUGCGGGUGAAAAACCCGCACGCCGAAAGCCCAAGGUUUCCUUGCGCAACGUUAAUCGGCGCAGGGUGAGUCGGCCCCUAAGGCGAGGACGAAAGUCGUAGUCGAUGGGAAGCAGGUUAAUAUUCCUGCACCUCGCGUAAGUGCGAUGGAGGGACGGAGAAGGUUAGGUGUACCAGGCGUUGGUUGUCCUGGGGAAAGGCGGUAGGUUUGGAUCUUUGGCAAAUCCGGGAUCCUCUAAGACCGAGCACCGAGACGAGCCUUUAUGGCGAAGUCACUGAUACCACGCUUCCAGGAAAAGCUCCUAAGCUUCAGCUUACGCAGACCGUACCGUAAACCGACACAGGUGGGUAGGAUGAGAAUUCUCAGGCGCUUGAGAGAACUCGGGUGAAGGAACUAGGCAACAUGGCACCGUAACUUCGGGAGAAGGUGCACCCUUUUUGGUGGCUCGUGCGAGCUAUAGCUGAAGAGGGUCGCAGUAACCAGGCCGCUGCGACUGUUUAUCAAAAACACAGCACUCUGCAAACACGAAAGUGGACGUAUAGGGUGUGACGCCUGCCCGGUGCUGGAAGGUUAAUUGAUGGGGUCAGCCGCAAGGCGAAGCUCUUGAUCGAAGCCCCAGUAAACGGCGGCCGUAACUAUAACGGUCCUAAGGUAGCGAAAUUCCUUGUCGGGUAAGUUCCGACCUGCACGAAUGGCGUAACGACAGCGGCGCUGUCUCCACCCGAGACUCAGUGAAAUUGAAAUCGCUGUGAAGAUGCAGCGUUCCCGUGGCAAGACGGAAAGACCCCGUGAACCUUUACUAUAGCUUUACACUGAACGUUGAGUUCGUCUGUGUAGGAUAGGUGGGAGGCUAUGAAACCAUGGCGCUAGCUGUGGCGGAGCCAUCCUUGAAAUACCACCCUGUCGUGCUUGACGUUCUAACCUGGGCCCAUUAUCUGGGUCGGGGACCGUGUAUGGUGGGUAGUUUGACUGGGGCGGUCUCCUCCUAAAGAGUAACGGAGGAGCUCGAAGGUACGCUCAGCGCGGUCGGACAUCGCGCACUGUGUGCAAAGGCAUAAGCGUGCUUGACUGCAAGAUCGACGGAUCAAGCAGGUAGGAAACUAGGACUUAGUGAUCCGGUGGUUCUGUAUGGAAGGGCCAUCGCUCAACGGAUAAAAGGUACUCCGGGGAUAACAGGCUGAUACCGCCCAAGAGUUCAUAUCGACGGCGGUGUUUGGCACCUCGAUGUCGGCUCAUCACAUCCUGGGGCUGUAGUCGGUCCCAAGGGUAUGGCUGUUCGCCAUUUAAAGUGGUACGCGAGCUGGGUUCAGAACGUCGUGAGACAGUUCGGUCCCUAUCUGCCAUGGGCGUUGGAGAUUUGAGAGGGGCUGCUCCUAGUACGAGAGGACCGGAGUGGACGAACCUCUGGUGUUCCGGUUGUCACGCCAGUGGCAUUGCCGGGUAGCUAUGUUCGGAAGCGAUAACCGCUGAAAGCAUCUAAGCGGGAAGCGCGCCUCAAGAUGAGAUCUCCCGGGGCACAAGCCCCCUGAAGGAACCAUGUAGACUACGUGGUUGAUAGGUCAGGUGUGUAAGUACAGCAAUGUAUUGAGCUAACUGAUACUAAUGAUCCGAGAGGCUUGACCAU
rnacentral:rRNA from 2 species